rnacentral:rRNA from 1 species
ACUCCUACGGGAGGCAGCAGUGGGGAAUAUUGCACAAUGGGCGCAAGCCUGAUGCAGCCAUGCCGCGUGUGUGAAGAAGGCCUUCGGGUUGUAAAGCACUUUCAGUCGUGAGGAAGGUAGUGUAGUUAAUAGCUGCAUUAUUUGACGUUAGCGACAGAAGAAGCACCGGCUAACUCCGUGCCAGCAGCCGCGGUAAUACGGAGGGUGCGAGCGUUAAUCGGAAUUACUGGGCGUAAAGCGCAUGCAGGUGGUUUGUUAAGUCAGAUGUGAAAGCCCGGGGCUCAACCUCGGAAUAGCAUUUGAAACUGGCAGACUAGAGUACUGUAGAGGGGGUAGAAUUUCAGGUGUAGCGGUGAAAUGCGUAGAGAUCUGAAGGAAUACCGGUGGCGAAGGCGGCCCCUGGACAGAUACUGACACUCAGAUGCGAAAGCGUGGGAGCAAACAGGAUUAGAUACCCCUGGUAGGAUAGCG